AGGAAAGUGAAUGAUUGGGUUGCUGUUGCAUAUGAAAAACAAUGGAAUAUUGGAUAUAUUGUGGAGGUAUCUAUAACUGGGAUCAGAGUUAAUUGUAUGAUUAAGGGGCAAGAGAAGAAUACUUUUCGCUGGCCAGUUACUACCGAGGAGAUAAAUAACCAAACUGAUAAAAUUAUCUGUUUAGUAAAUGCUCCUUUUCUAAUCAGUGGUUGUGGCGAUUAUUCAUUAUCCGAAGAAGACUUUAAUACAGUCAUAUUAUUAUUCUUAGAGAAACUUACUACAGCAGAGUAGAAAUUAUGUGUGAUGUGGUGGAUAAUGUGUGUAAAUGACUCUAUUAAUAAAUGAAAAACUAAUUUUUAAAUGGAAAAACAUUUAAAUGUUUG